UUUGGUGUUUAUUUACGCUGAGAGGGUAAACUUACACUAUCCUAGGUUAUUUAACGCUGCUUUGGUGUAAAUCCGCUUGCCUCUGUGGGGACACCAAUUUGGUGUUUGUUUACACUGAGAGAGUAAAUUUACACUAUCCUAGGUUACUUCACACUGCUUUGGUGUAAAUCCGUUUGCCUCUGUGGGGACACCAAUUUGGUGUUUAUUUACACUGAGAGGGUAAACUUACACUGUCCUAGGUUAUUUAACGCUGCUUUGGUGUAAAUCCGCUUGCCUCUGUGGGAACACCAAUUUG